GUGCGGCGUCUGCGAGCCGUCGUCGUGGCAACGGCGCCCGCGGCCCCGGUAACGCCGGCGGCCCCGGGCUCUGCCGGGAGCACGCGCACCAACGGCCGCCCACCGCGCGGUGCUGCAGGCGGCGUCUGGGGCUGCCCUGGUUUUAGAUCCCAAUGAAUAUUACAAGGGGGAGCUUGGAUAAAAUUUCAUGGCCAGCAUCUAGCUCGAGAGCUUACCCCAGCUGUAGGCAUUUAAGUGCCUCUAUGGAGUUACUGACACCAGAACCCUGUUUGCCAAAGUUUUGCAGAGACUUCUGGUGUCUGUGGUUCUGCAAAGGGCUAUGUGAAAGCCUUUUCAGUGUUAAUCAUCAAAGAAGCUUAGAAGACUGCUGUCCAGAAGAAAACAAAGGUUAUGGCAGGGGGAACUCUGAUACUAAGGAAGUAGAGAGUAUGACCAUUUUUCAGGAGUGUGCGCUGAAUCCCACGUGUAUUUCUAAUUCAGAUUCUGGAGGUGAUAGCACUGAAACACAGACUUCAGUAUUCUAUGGACCUUCCCAAGGAAAAUUAAGUAAUAUAAAAGAAGCAAACUUUUCCAAGUUAUUGGAUUCUGAAGAGGCAGAAGGAAGUCCUCAGAUUCAAGCUGCUAUAAGAAAAAUGAAUAAGCUUGACAAAAUACUGGCAAAAAGACACGUUAAAGAAAGAGCAGUUAAAAAACAAGGCAAGGAAAUUAGAGCAAAGCUCUGGGAAGAACUUAAGUCUGUCAGUACCGUCGGAGUCCAUGAGGAGAUAGAAAACACAAAGCUCUUCUUAACUUUGAUCUCAUCAUGGCAGGAUACAGCUGAUUUCUUUGCAGAUCCCUCUCAUGUUAAAGAGGAUGAAACACAUGCUUUGAUAUUUCACACGCACAUUAAUCCAGAAGAUUGUGCCUUCCAUAAAACCCAGCAUAAUAAGGAUUAUCCAAGUGAAAUAGAACCAAACAAAUUCCUGAAUGAAGCAGAAAAAACAACACAGAAUAAAAGUAAAAGCAGUCAGCAGUUCAUUAAAAAGAAUGUAGAGCUAGCAAAGGAUUCAGGAAAACAGAUACCUAUGCUUGAAGGAGAAAGGAAAAGGUUAAUUGAACUCUUGAAAGAUACAGAAGAUGGAAGUAUAUUGCAAGAUCUUGAGGAGGAUGUGUGUGGCUGGCUAGCACCAGGAGAAGGGUACACACCUGAACCGGUGGAAUUUCAUUACCUAAAUGAGAUAGACACGAAGCUUCAAAUGCUACUGUCUAAUGGGGAUUUUUCUGCAAUGUCCAGCUCUUGCUCAAAUCCUUCCAGCCAAAUUUUUCAGGAGUCUCUGAUUUAUGCAAACAGAAGCCUAGAAGGAGCUCCAGGUGAAAAGAUUCUACGAGACAAUAAGGAAUAUCGUGAUCAACAAAACCGUCUGAAAGAAAUAGAUCAUCAGCUGAAAUCUUUAGAGAGAAAUUUCAUUGAAGAGAAAACAGGCCUCUCUGAACAGCAGCUUAAAACCCUUCUGGAAGAAUGUAUGCAGCCUCAGAGAACAAUAAGCAACGUUACCAUGCCAAAGUCUCAGGAAUCUCUUUCUUGUGGAUUAAGUCCCCCUCGUUACACAAGUCAAGACUCCAUUCUUCACUCCACAUCUACUCUUUCCAAAAUCUUAGUUGAAGACCAUAUUGUAGGGAUGUUAACAGCUCUGGAAAAGACUGGACUUGAAGACAAAAGCUUAUGUGUUAAUGCAGAGAGUGAAAUCCCUAGCUACUAUAUCAGCAAAGCAUUGGCUGAUAGUCACUUAUCAAAGGAUUCACUGGCCCAAACCGAGGAACCUGAUGACCUAGAAGGUUUACAGAAGAUGAGAGAUAAGAGUAUUACUGAAGGUUACUUUAUGUCAAGAGCACUCAACACUGAAAGGCUGAAGAAACCUUCUUUCUUGGGUGAACCAUUAUACUGCAUCAGCAUGAACAAUGAGCCAUCCACAGGGCCUGACAUUCUCAGCAUACCACUGCAAACCAAAGGAGGUGCAAGAAUCUGAAGAGUGGAGACAGGGAAGGAUUUGGUCUGCCCCAGGCAGGUGGUGGUGGUGAUGAUGGUUUGGAGAACCACAGGGAGGCACCUGUGCCAGGGACAGCUUGAUCUGAUGUGGGACUGAAGUGAUGAUACGAAGAUUGAAAGUUGAGGGGAAAGUGACUGUGCUUCAUUACACAGCUUUCCUAAAUGUGUCGUUAGACUUCCACGAGUGAUGUUUUACUGAUACAGUCAUUUCAGACACUCUGAAGGGAACGAAUUCUCAUCAUUGAAGACGUUUCCAUGAUAUAAUUAAUCCUUAAGAGAAAAUUAUUAUCGUAUAUUGUUCCAGUUUGAUUUCAAAGUAUAAAAUCUUGCACAACACUAAAUUUCACGAGAAUGUAAUAAAUAAUUAUACAUGUGCAUAAUAGUUAUCCAUAUGCUUUUGUGUAUCAGUCUGUCUGAUAGAUAUGCAGGUAGACGUAAAGUGUAUAAGAUAGUUGUUGUUUUUUUUCCUUACACACAAUGUAUUGUUUACAUGAAGUCAGCUUGAGCCUGGCCUCAGUGAACUCAGUACAGUUUGCUGUAUGGGAUCUGCCUUUGAGCCCUGUCUGGGUGAAGGACACAAGCACCCAGUGCCUAUCUGCUGAAUGCUGCCUUGGCUGUAGGUAAGGACUUGAACAGCUCCACUGCUGGAUCGGGGUUGGGAUCAGUCUGUUCAGCUGUGUCUGUCCUGUGGUCCUGCAGAGUUGAAACCAUAUGGCAAACAGGCAUAUCCCCUUGUUCAGAAAUGUAGCGAAGCUGGGAAAGAUCACAGCCCCUCUGGGAGGCUUGGUGUGACUAAAAGUGAAGGGAUUCAGAAGUUUGCCCACCAGUGACUGGAAUGCGAAGCCUUGUAGCAAUGGCUGGCUGUGGUGAGGGUGGUACAGCUAGAUUGUAUUUGAGAUAAUAGUAACUUGUUACAGUAUUUUGUUUGUCUACUCCUUAACUACUAUUUCUCUUGAGUUUUGUACAUAUUUAUUGUGAGUUGGUACUUAGUUUCUCAUGUUAUGCUGUACAAUGUUAGGAUAAGAAGGUAUUAUUAAAGGUUCUCUUUUAAAGGUAUUUUUGGGGGGAGGAGAGAGGGAAGAUAUUUUAGCAAAAAUAACUCCAUAGAUUUUCCUAUCUCAUCUGACAGAAAGGAAUAAUUCUUCCCAAGUUACCAUAUUAGCUGUUUAAUACUCAGGAAGGACAGAUUUAUGAAUACAACAUAAAAUGUACAGUGGCUGCAUUAUGGCAUACUGGAGUUAACAUGAAUGUUUAAAUCAAUGCACAUAUUGGCCAAGAUUUUAAUCUCAUUUGCAGAGUUGCCAAUCUGAAUGGAUGUGUGCUCCUGCAGAGCUCAUGAUCAUUCAGAAUCUAACCUACUUUCUUUUAACUAAAAAUGUCAUUUACAUUGUGAUUACCAAGUACUAUAUAUUGUUCUAUUUUCUAAUGGUUUUACUUGUUUUGCAAUAAUCAUAACAAGGCCAUGGAUAAUGAA